rnacentral:rRNA from 1 species
GACGUAGGGGGCCAGCGUUGUUCGGAAUUACUGGGUGUAAAGGGUUCGUAGGCGGUGCGGCAAGUCGGGAGUGAAAUCUCUGGGCUUAACCCAGAGGCUGCUUCCGAAACUGCUGUGCUUGAGUGUGGGAGAGGCGCGUGGAAUUGCAGGUGUAGCGGUGAAAUGCGUAGAUAUCCGGAGGAACACCGGUGGCGAAGGCGGCUUCCUGGACCGACACUGACGCUGAGGCGCGAAAGCUAGGGGAGCAAACGGG